rnacentral:lncRNA from 1 species
AAAAGUUGCAGAAAGCGAGACAUAUGUAUUUUUUCACCGGCUAAGACUUUGUUGUUAUCGUCAUUAACAAUUGUUAAGUUUUCUGCUGAUUAGUUUGAUAAGAACUACAUGUAUUAGAAUAUUUUAAUUCUUCAGUUUUCAUUUUGUCUAGGAUAUAAACAUUUAUUUUUAAUUAUCAAUGAAGUUAAUUUGCAUUUUCACUGGGCAUUAAAAGAAACUAACCAAAAACCGGAAGGCACAUCAUUGUUGCUAGGAAACC